GAGAGUAGGACAUGCGCGCGUAGUACACAAACACACCACACAUUGGUCCCCAUCAGUACACUGGGUGUGGUGGAGUAGCGUUCAAGACCGCAUCACGCUGGUUUCCGAUUGGUCAUGCUUUAUUAACUCAGCAAAAAAAGAAACGUCACCUACUCUUUGUAUGAACAUAACAAGAUUCAACAACUGAGACAUAAACUGAACAAGUUCCACAGACAUGUGACUAACAGAAAUUGAAUAAUGUGUCCCUGAACAAAGGGGGGGUUCAAAAUCAAAAGUAACAGUCAGUAUCUGGUGUGGCCACCAGCUGCAUUAAGUACUACUACUACUGCUACUGCACUAAGUACUACUACUAUUAAGUACUACUACAGUGCAUCUCCUCUUCAAGGACUGCACCAGAUUUGCCAGUUCUUGCUGUGAGAUGUUACCCCACUCUUCCACCAAGGCACCUACAAGUUCCCGGACAUUUCUGGGGGGGAAUGGCCCUAGCCCUCACCCUCUGAUCCAACAGAUCCCAGGCGUGCUCAAUGGGAUUGAGAUCCGGGCUCUUCGCUGCCCAUGGCAGAACACUGACAUUCCUGUCUUGCAGGAAAUCACACACAGAACGAGCAGUAUGGCUGGUGUCAUUGUCAUGCUGGAGGGUCAUGUAAGGAUGAGCCUGUAGGAACGCUACCACAUGAGGGAGGAGGAUGUCUUCCCUGUAACGCACAGCGUUGAGAUUGCCUGCAAUGACAACAAGCUCAGUCCGAUGAUGCUGUGACACACCGCCCCAGACCAUGUGAUAUGAGAAUUUUGUUAUCAAUGUUCUUAAAUAUUCAAUUCAUCUACUCGGUCUGCAACCCAGUGUUUAAGGUUCUAGUUAAGAUGACAUAGACAGAAUUCCCAGCUUACAAUAGUCAAAAUGUUUAUUCACGAGAGCACUCUCCAGUUCAUUAUACAAAGACAUCCAUUUUAUACCAUACACCUUACUUAUACACACGAACAUUAGGUGAGUUAUAUUCUUCUCCAUAGUUCUCACCACUGUAUAUCACUACCCAGCCGACAGUUCCAUUCCCCAGAGAUUAGGGAAACCUUGAAGGGUACUCCCUGUCCCAUCAUACAUUUCCAAGAGUUCUAGCCGGGUCGGGUCAAACACAGUUUAAUUGUGCUGGAUGGAUUACUGGGCUGAACACGCUAACAACAAGUGGUUAUUUGGACAUAAAUUAUGGACUUUAUGGAACGAACUGGGAUUCCUAGGAGUGCCUUCUGAUGAAGAUCAUCAAAGGAGAUGAAGGACAAUGGCUGCCCCACUCUGUUGCGCAAGCAAAUCUCUGCGAACACCCAGCUCUGGGCCUGAGAACCCCUGCUCUAGAAAGGUUAAACCCUUUAGAAGGAAGAUCUGUGAAGGUAUUUGGAUUUUUACAAAUUAUCUUUGAAAGACAGGGUCCUGAAAAGGGGACUUUUCUUUUUUUUUUGCUGAAUUUAUCUGCGCCAAUUCCCUAGACCUCAAAAUAUAAUAUAGAAAAGCCUGUUUGUCAGUUGGUGUUGGUGGGUGUUUAUCAUCCUUCCUUACCUUACAUCCUAAAUGAAAGGGUGCAUUUGUAACAGAAGGUAAUGAACAGAGGGCCACUGAUGGAGGAGAGCAGAACGAUGGGAUGGAGCUGUCACCCAGAGUUUGUUUAAUGAAUUGGCACCAGGAGUAAACAGUCACCCACCCCCACGGCAGUAUCUGCAUGGCCAUAGGGAACAGCUGUGUGUGUGUGUGUGUGUGUGUGUGUGUGUGUGUGUGUGUGUGUGUGUGUGUGAGAGAGAAUUAGAUUUGAUCACACUGCGCGCGUGGUGACCAAGACAAGUGGCUGACUUGGAAGGUGUGUGAUUGUAUGAGUGUGUUGCACUGUGUCACUACCAUAUUUUUGUGUGUAAAGGUGAUUGUCACCCACAGGAGAGUGUGUCGGUGUGUGCAUAUGUUUGUGUGAAAGUUGAGUGGCCCUCACAGGGGGAAAAGUGUCCAUCUCUCUCUGUGUCUGUUUGCCUGCAUGUGUCUGUGUGUUCACACCGGUGUACUUGUGUGGUGCGCUUGGCUGGUGUUGAGUGUCUGCCACAGGGGAAGGUGUGCCUGCUCUAGUCUCCCGCUUCUGUUCGUUCCUCUCCUUCCCUGCAGUGUGUGUAGUUUGUUUGAGGCCGGGGCCAAGGCAGCAGUAGCAGGCUGUCACUCCACACACUGCAUGCUGGGACAGCAGAGCAACCACCAGGUGUCCACGGAAACCAAGCCAGCCCAUCUGAUUGGUCCUCUGAGACUCACGACCCCCCCCACCCCUCAACAACACUAAACCGGAAUGACUCUCACCAGACUAUCACACACACACCCCAACCACCAGCCAGGAAAGUCCCCCUUUUCAACGAGAUGCCCUCUGCUCGUCAUUGUCUGUUAUUGAUCUGAUAAUCACUAGCAAUGUGGAGAGGGUAAUAACGUUGUAAUCACCUGUCUUUGUACUCUUGAAAGGAAUAGCUUGAAAAUAAAUGUAGAACUUUGCUAAGAA